rnacentral:tRNA from 1 species
GCUGGAGUGGCGGAACUGGCAUACGCGCUAGCUUCAGGAGCUAGUACCGUAAGGUUUGAGGGUUCGAAUCCCUCCUCCAGCACCA